GAAUCUCCUAGACCGGGAGAAGAUUGAUGACAAGGACCUUCCCUCAGAGCCCACAGACAGAUAUUUUUAUUGUCUCCAUUUUACAGAAGAUAUUAAAACUUAAAAAGGUGGAGUAUAAGAGGAGUAAAGCUCCCAAACCAACCAUCAAGACAUCAAGAUAAAAACAGCCACCAUUUACCAAAUAAUAGAAGACCUCCUACUUAUUAGCAGGAGUCCCUGGCUGCUAAUCGAAAGGUCAGAGGUUCAAAUCCACCAGAGGUGCCUCCAAAGAAAGGCCUGACAAUCUACUUCUGUAAGAUCACAGCCAUUGAAAACCCUGUGGGGCACAGUUCUCCUCUGACACACAUGGGCUUGCCAUGAGUCAGAAGCAACUCCACGACAACUGGGUUUUACUUGCUAUUGAGUGGGAAGAAAGUGCUCAGAGAGAACAAGUCAAAAAUUAUAAAAUAGGAAGCCUCAAGCUGCUUUCCAGACUUAGCCAACUAUGAAUGUAAACUGACUUUAGGUUCCUCAUAUUUAGGUACUGAUUUAGAGACCUCAACAGGAGGGGUCAUGCUUUGUGGGUGCUAUGCUUAUUUAGAGUAGCCACAGAAGUCAAAUACAACCAUCUACUUGAAAUUUGUCUUUCAAAAGGACUUCAAUAGAAGCUUUUUUAUUGGCAAAGGAAAAAAAGACAUUUUACAUCUUAUUCUCUGUAGAAGUGUUUUGAAUUCUGAACCACCAAAUUCAGUAAAAUCUGUUUUUUUAUUUUUAUUUUUAUUUUUUGAUUUUUAUCUACAUUAUAUUCUUUUUUUUUUUAAUUGUACUUCGGGU